rnacentral:rRNA from 1 species
UACGAAGGGGGCUAGCGUUGCUCGGAAUCACUGGGCGUAAAGCGCACGUAGGCGGCUACUCAAGUCAGAGGUGAAAGCCCGGGGCUCAACCCCGGAACUGCCUUUGAAACUAGGUAGCUAGAAUCUUGGAGAGGUCAGUGGAAUUCCGAGUGUAGAGGUGAAAUUCGUAGAUAUUCGGAAGAACACCAGUGGCGAAGGCGACUGACUGGACAAGUAUUGACGCUGAGGUGCGAAAGCGUGGGGAGCAAACAGG